rnacentral:ncRNA from 1 species
GAGAAGUUUUAUUCUUGCUUAUUUAUAGAUUUACAAUAAAUUUGUUUUACAUGUAAAUUUUAGUGUUUAUAUAAAUAUUUAAUGUUCUUGAUGAAUAUUAAAAUGUGUUUAAAGAUUUAUUUGCAGUAUUUAAUUUUAUAAAUCAAAGUUUUUUGGAUUUAGCAAGCUUAUUAGUAUCGGUUAAAGUCGUGCCAGCUACCGCGGUUAUACGAAGGAUACGAGUAAAUAUUAUGAUUGGUUUAAUAGUUAGAUGUUAAUAGAAUAAGGGAAAUUAUUUCUGAAUUUAAUUAGGUGAAAUUUUUAGUUUGUUUAUGAUUUCUUGAUUUUACAGGUGAUUUAAGCUAUAAAAUUUAAAUAUAAAACUAGGAUUAGAUACCCUAUUAUUUUAAGUGUAAUAUAGAGUUACCUGAGUAAUAGUAGUUAAGAUCUUGAAACUCAAAGAAUUUGGCGGUGUUUUAGUCUUUUCAGAGGAACUUGCUCCGUAAUCGAUAGUCCACGUUAAAUCUUGCUUAAUUUUGUUUUCAACUUGUAUACCGCCGUCGUCAGAAUGUCCUUUUAGGGUGUAUAAUUUUCUUAAAUUCUAAUUAGAAAGGAGGUCAGGUCAAGGUGCAGUUAAUGGUUAAGAGGAAGUGAGUUACAGUAAAUUAAUUUAUUAUGGAGAAUAACUUGCGUAUAGUUAUUUGAAGGUGGAUUUGAUAGUAAAUUAUACUAUAAAAUAGGGUUGAUUUUAGCUCUAAAAUGCGCACACAUCGCCCGUCGCUCUCGUUAUUAAGGCGAGAUAAGUCGUAACAUAGUAGGAGUACCGGAAGGUGUUUCUAGAUAUU